GGGACUGCAAGGUUUCUACAUAUAGUAUACAAUAUACAUUGUCAUUAAUAUAACUUUAUUACUAUUAGUAAAUGCUAAAAAUAAUAUAUUAACUUUAUCUAGAAGAUUAAUUUAUGCUUAAACUUUUUGAAAUAAAAGAUUAAGCAGUUACAGAUUGUUACUAGAACUCAAAUAAUAUAAGCCAUAUAGUUAUUUGAUAUAUUGAAUUUGGUUGCUCUUAAAUUAGUCUUAAUCAAAGAAUUAAUUUUAAGAUAAGUAAGAAAUCAUUACAACAUCAAAUCGUAUUUUUUAGAUUACAUCUAUAAUAUAUUACUUAUAAUAUAUUAUUUCUAAUGUAAUUAGACGAUAUAUAGUAUAUUAUUAUGGACGUGGGUUCAAUUCCCACCAGUUCCACCA
rnacentral:tmRNA from 1 species